GGACCCUACUGCUAUCGGGGUGAGACUAAGCAAUGCAAGUCGUGCGCCUCAAGCCAUGGUGAGGCGCGGCAAACGGCUCAGUAACACGUGGCCAACCUACCCUUAGGACGGGGACAACCCCGGGAAACUGGGGCUAAUCCCCGACAGGCGAGGAGGCCUGGAAUGGUUCUUCGCUCAAAGGGCGUUGGGGACAUGCUUCCCAACGUUGCCUAAGGAUGGGGCCGCGGCCGAUCAGGUUGUUGGUGAGGUAACGGCCCACCAAGCCUUUAACCGGUACGGGCCAUGAGAGUGGGAGCCCGGAGAUGGGCACUGAGACAAGGGCCCAGGCCCUACGGGGUGCAGCAUGCGCGAAACCUCCGCAAUGCGCGAAAGCGUGACGGGGUUACCCCGAGUGCCGUCCGCUGAGGAUGGCUUUUCUCCUGUGUAAGGAGCCGGAGGAAUAAGGGGAGGGCAAGACUGGUGUCAGCCGCCGCGGUAAUACCAGCUCCCCGAGUGGUAGGGACGAUUAUUGAGCUUUAAAGCGUCCGUAGCCGGCCUGACAAGUCUUCCGUUAAAUCCAGCGACUCAAUCGCUGGGCCGCGAAAGAUACUGUCAGGCUAGGGGGCGGAAGAGGCCGACGGUAUUCCCGGAGUAGGGGUGAAAUCCUAUAAUCCCGGGAGGACCACCAGUGGCGAAGGCGGUCGGCUAGAACGCGCUCGACGGUGAGGGACGAAAGCUGGGGGAGCGAACCGGAUUAGAUACCCGGGUAGUCCCAGCUGUAAACGAUGCGGGCUAGGUGUCGGGGCGGCCACGAGCCGCUUCGGUGCCGCAGGGAAGCCGUUAAGCCCGCCGCUUGGGAAGUACGGCCGCAAGGCUGAAACUUAA
rnacentral:rRNA from 1 species